GGUUACUGUGAGCUGUGAUUGCACCACUGUACUCCAGUCUGGGCAACAGAGCAGAAGCCUGUCACCAAAAAGCAAACCCCCCCAUAUAUUUGUACCCAUUAAUCAAAGUGUUUUUAUCUCCCUUCACAGCCUCUGGUAGCCACCGUUCUACUCUCUUUCUCCAUGAGGUCCAGGUUUGAAGCUCCCACAUGUGAGUGAGAACAUGCAAUAUUUUUCUUCUGUGCCUGGCUUAUUUCACUUAAUAUAAUGACCUCCAGUUCCACCCGUCAACGGAGGAUUUAUUUUAGGAAACUUGCAAUGGUGAGUUCUUUCUCUACCUCUUUGAGAUGCAAAUCUUGUCUCAAAUCUUCUUCUAGCCUCUUGCUAGUUUUACAACCCAGGAAUGUCUUUCUCAAGACCUCAGAGCCAUCCCUUUAAAAUGUAGUAAUUGAAGAUGAUACAUCUGUCAGUCUUUGUAGAAGGGCAGGUUUCCAGUUUUGAAAAAUUCCAAUGAGCGAACACAGAUCGCUUUACCGCAUUUCCUAACCUCUUCCUGAUGUCUCCAGUUCCUUCUCGGCAUCUCACCCCAGCACUUAAACUCUCCAGCCUUUUGUUUAACAAGGCUAAGCUCCUUCUCUCUUCGGUAUGGCAAUAGUCCUGACUCAAGCCUGCCUUGCACGUUUAACUUGUCUGGUGCAUUUUUUUCUUUGACAAUGUCCAGAUCAAACGGCCCCACAAAAACAUCGAGUGUGAUUUUAGCCUGAGAAGUGGGAGGGUGAGAAGACAGAUUUGGAGCCAGCUGUGUGGGCAAGGGACUCAGCCACGCUCUAAACCUCUCCCAGUCUCAUCCGUAAAUGCAGUGCACAGGCAGCAGCGCUUCUCCCCCGAGGCUGGGGCGAUGGAAUAAGUUUGACUAUUGAGGGCACGGUCGCCAGUGGGUUUCCUUUGGUUGACUGCUGACAAUGUGUUUGUAGAAUGGCAGCCCACACUAGGCGAUGUUGAAGCCACAGAAGACACGGCAGUGGGAAAAGCAGCAGGAGCUUCUGCCCUGAGGAGCCUCCAAGCCCAGGCAGAGGGCCAGCCGCACAGGGUCUCCUGAGAACACAUACCAGAACUACUGAGGUAAUCUUCGUACAUUUUCUUAACCAUUUGAUGUGACUUUCAAAUUCCUUAUAUAUAGCUGGGAAAAACGGCUUUACUAGAUGAUCUGUUUGAACAUUCCUGAGGAUAAAGAUUGAAAAAAAAAAAAAGUUUAAA